rnacentral:rRNA from 1 species
UUGACAUGUUGGUAGUAGUGAAGCGAAAGCGGAGCGACCCUUCGGGGAGCCAUCACAGGUGCUGCAUGGCUGUCGUCAGCUCGUGUCGUGAGAUGUUGGGUUAAGUCCCGCAACAAGCGCAACCCUCGUCGCUAGUUAUACGUGUCUAGUGAGACUGCCGGUAUCAAACCGGAGGAAGGUGGGGAUGACGUCAAGUCAGCAUGGUCUUUAUAUCCAGGGCUACACACACGCUACAAUGGCCGGUACAAUAGGUUGCCACACCGCGAGGUGGAGCUAAUCCUCAAAGCCGGUCUCAGUUCGGAUAGCAGUCUGCAACUCGACUGCUUGAAGGCGGAGUUGCUAGUAACCGCGCGUCAGCAAUAGUGCGGUGAAUGCGUUCCCGGGCCUUGUACACACCGCCCGUCACAUCAUGGGAGUCGGUAACACCUGAAGUUGGUGACCUAACCGCAAGGGAGGAGCUACCUAAGGUGGGGCCGGUAACUGGGAUGAAGUCGUAACAAGGUA